CCUCGGCGCUCCGCGUCCCCCGACCGAUGCGGCGGCGCGCUGCUUCCGGUCUCUCUGGGGCCCUGAUGCUAGAGUUCCGCUCUCGCGAGAGACGCCUUCUGCGCCUGCGCAGGAUUCAAAUGUGUAGCGCGUUCGUUCGAGGGGACUGGAGGUCAGCAGUCGGCUCGGCGGCCCUCAGCAUGAACCCCAUCCAGAGUUUCCACUGUAAGCUGCGGGGUCUGGCCACCACGCUGGACAGCGAGACGGCCCGGCUGCUGAGAGCGCUGGACGGCGAGGACAGCGACUUUGAAGAUUCUCCAGGGAGAAUUUUGCAUGACCUUCAUUCAGAAGUCCAGACUCUAAAGGAUAAUGUUAAUGCUCUUCUCGAUGAAGCAAGAUUGGAGAACCAAGAAAGCACAAGGUUCAAAAAGGCAACAAAAAUACUGAUGGAAAAAAACUCAGCAGACGUCAGAAAACUAAGAGAGUUUUUCCAGAAGUAUGGCUACCAAGCGCGUGACAAGGAGGAUUCAGGCUGUGAGCACAGAGUGAACAACUCCACCCCAGAGUUAGCUGUGUGUAAAGACAUUCAAAAGGCCGGUGUGAAGGAGCUGUCUGAUCCCUGUGUUCCGAGCGGUUCUGUUUCUGAAGAGCCUCUGCGAAGCCCACAGCUCUCAGACUUUGGACUUCAGCGGUACAUAAUUUCCCAAGUCCCAGCCAACCCUCCCCAGACAGCUGCCAGCCUCAAAGAAGAACGUGUAGCUGAGACCCCUCCUGCCAAAGACCCCUCUGUUCAAGUGCUGAAGACCCCGCGGUGUGCUCUAAGGAUGGAUGAUUUUGAGUGUGAAACUCCUAAAUUAGAACACUUUGGUAUAUCUGAACAUACUAUGUGUUUAAAUGAAGAUUACACAAUGGGACUUAAAAAUAUGAAGAACAUUAAAAGUUCCCUUUUGAGUGGUGUCAGUGGAGAAGCCAUAGGAACUGGGCCUGUGACCAGUGAUAAUUCUUUUGCCAUUCCUGGUCCCAUAAUCCAGCAGAUGGAAGAAAACGAUGUGGAAUACGUAAGUUCACCAUUGCCACCUAAAUUCUGCACUCCUGGUUUGAAAAUUCCUUCUACAAUGGACAGAACAGAUUUGAUGAAUGCUAUCAGAGUUUUGCAGAGCCCCCUUCUUCAGCAAUUACUUCUUGUGAAAAUUUUGCAACACCAUCUCCUCCGAAAGUUACUGCGAUUCCAGAAGACAUUCUCCAGGUCAUUUUCUAGGUUUUUUUUUUCCUAAUAUUUUCAAAAUUAUAUAUCUGUGUUAGAAAACUGCAAUCGCAUAUAAACUGUCAUAUUUGCCAUCAUGCUUUGGGUAUUGAGAAAAACCUUAAGGCUUUCCUGAACCAGUCAGAAGUUUCUAACUUGGUGUUAGUAAUAUUACUCUCCUGGGGUACUUUGUCUUGUAGCUUGUUCUACAGUGUAUUGUUUCUGUUAGUUUUUAAUCUGUAGUUGCUAUAUUAGCUAUCGUCCAAUUAAAAGUGGGAGUGUCCUUUGCCCUAUAAUUCUCCAUAGCAAGGUCUCAUUAAUAACACGUGCCUGCAUUUCUCAAACUGUCAGUGUGCAGGCACAUAGCAUUGAUUCACAUAGUAUUAAAAUAUUUGACUGUGGAGUAUGGCACCACCAGCUAGUAGACACUACAAGAGGACUAGUCUGACUCUAGUCUGCUUUAUAGUGUUGAGCAGUUAGUGCUGGGGUGCAGCGAAGUCCUGUGUGACUGGGGUGCCAUGAGAGCAGUAAACUGUGAGACAUCUAUUUUUAAUUGUGUGUAUAUUGUGGGUGUGUAGGUGUGUACCUUUGAAUGCAGGUGCCUGAGUAGUCAGAAGAGGGAGGCAGAGCUAGCGUUAGAGGCAAUAGUAAGCUGUCCAAAGUCGGAGCUGGGAACUGAACUCUGGUCCUCUGUAAGAGCUUAACUGCUAUCUCCAGUCCCACCACCUGACUGCUUGCUUUCUUAGAGGAGAAAGUAGGUAAGGAGCCACCUGAUUUAUGAGCACAUGUGGGGGUUACUACUUCCUGCUGGAGGGCUUCUUCCUAUGAGGGUACGGAAACCUUGUCUUUGUCUUAGUGGUUGCUUCUUUUUAGGGGUGAAACACUGGGGCUUGUGUAUGGUAUAGAAGCACUUGGCCACUUUGUCACCUGCCCAGUCCCAGGGACACCUUACACUCAGUGUGCUCCUUCCAGUUUUUCCUUUCCAUGUUUUAAUUGUGUAAGUUUAUUAUACAUGGUAAUGUGUUAUUAUUAUUAUUAUACAUGGUAAUGGUUUUCAUGGUGACAUUUUCAUAUAUGUACAUAAUAUAUUCAUGUUUACAGAUAUAUGCAAACACCCAUUUCCUUCUCUUGUUUCGCUAUUGCAGAUCUCCUUCCCCUUCCCAACAGCGCCCUCUGUCUUUAUGUUGAGAGAGACUCUGAAGGAGAGAUGAGCAUGACUGAGGGCUUGUUUAUGAGUGGCUAUGCCACUGGCGUCAGGGCUUCACUCUCAUUCACUGUGUCUCGGUUCCCAAGGAAGAGCUGGGGCCUGUGAGCCUCCCCGUCCAUGAGGGUGCUCACUUGCUGUCUACAGUGCACAGACUCACAGCUGCUGCAUAUAUUCUCUUCAGUGCAUUGGGGAGUCUUCCUGUCUUUUUUUUUUUUUUUUUUUUUCAUCCUCAUCAAGACUUAACAUGGCUCUCGGGAUAUUUCCAUUAACUUCAGUAAAUGUGUCUUUAGACUUUAGACAUCAAACUUCCAUAUGAAGUUAAAAUCUUAUAUAUUUUUUUUACUAUUCAAUGUCUGUGUGAAUUGCUGUUGUUUGUUUUUGUUUUUUUGUUUUUUCGAGACAGGGUUUCUCUGUAUAACCCUGGCUGUCCUGGAACUCACUCUGUAGACCAGGCUGGCCUCAAACUCAGAAAUCCGCCUGCCUCUGCCUCCCGAGUGCUGGGAUUAAAGGCGUGCGCCACCAUGCCCAGCUUGUUUUGUUUUGUUUUGUUUUUAAGUAUUGUAAGUAACCCUUAAGUUCAUGGCUUUUCUUGAAUGUUUCUAACACCUUGCCUAUUUGUCAUUGACAUGACCUGAUAAAAAGAAAUGUGUUUUGUUUUAGAUGAUAACAAAGCACAGCUCAAACCUAGCUUCUCCCUUGGAUGUUAAAGUGAUGCCACGGAGGAAGGGCACCCGAGGCGCUGCCAACAAGGAAAACUGGUAACGGAAUUCUACAGUGGAUACAUCCAAUACAGAAGCUAGACAGAACAGGAAAGUGAGCUGGACUAAGGUUCUCAGGAUUAUAACUGGUUAGCACAGACCAGUAGAAGUGGAGAGAGGGCUCCUGCUGGCAGUCAGUCUUCUUUCUCCCAGUCUCUCUUAUUUCAUUCUUACGGGAAUGUUUCCGUUUCACCGCACUGUGGUGGCCUUUCCAGCUUGACCACCCAGCAGAUCCCGAUUCUACCUGGAAGAUUCUGAACACCUACUCUGAGCCAGAAGCCUUGGGAACGUCUUGAUUCUGGAACUAUCUAAUGGCCUUUGAGCCCAAGAUCCUUCUGAUCCAAGAACAGUUAGAAAGUAAUUCUCCAAGUUCAUGACAGUGCUACUUGGGAGAGCUUUGUGCUGCAGCCAGGUAGGGAAUGAGGAGCUGGUGUUCUGAAGAGUCCAGCUACAAUUUUGAGAAAUAAUUGGCAAAUACCAGUUGACUGACUAGUUUUGGGAAUUUCUUUCUCCCAAUACAGGGUUUCUCUGUGUAGCUGUGGCAGUCCUGAAACUUACUCUGUAGACCAGGCUAGAUCCUCCUGUCUCUGCCUCUUGAGUAGAAAUUAAAGAUGUGUACCACCACCGUCUGGCAGCUUUAGGAAAUUUUGUGUGGCAUAAAGAUUAUUCUAAUUGUGCAUUGAAAAUCAAGUGGAGAGCUAGAGAGAUGGCUCAGUGGUUAAGAGCACUGACUGUUCUUCCAGAGGUCCUGAGUUCAAUUCCCAGCAACCACAUGGUGGUAACAACCAUCUGUAAUGGGAUCCGUUGCCCUCUUCUGGCGUGUCUAAAGACCGCUACAAUGUACUCAUCUACAUAAAUAAUUCUGUUUAAAAAAAAAUCAAGUGGAAAAAUUCCAGGAUAAUACUAAUAAGUGCUUGUAUUUUUUGUUGUUGUUGUUAUUGUACAUAAUGUAAAAUAAAUGAUUUUCUGAGUAGCCCAC